GAUGUUGGGUUAAGUCCCGCAACGAGCGCAAUCCUUAUCCUUAGUUGCCAGCACGUCUGGGUGGGCACUCUAAGGAAACUGCCGGUGCUAAGCCGGAGGAAGGUGGGGAUGACGUCAAGUCCUCAUGGCCCUUACACCCUGGGCUACACACGUGCUACAAUGGCAGUGACAAUGGGCUAAUCCCAAAAAGCUGUCUCAGUUCGGAUUGGGGUCUGCAACUCGACCCCAUGAAGUCGGAAUCGCUAGUAAUCGCGUAACAGCAUGACGCGGUGAAUACGUUCCCGGGCCUUGUACACACCGCCCGUCA
rnacentral:rRNA from 1 species